UACGAAGGGGGCUAGCGUUGCUCGGAAUCACUGGGCGUAAAGCGCACGUAGGCGGCUUCUUAAGUCAGGGGUGAAAUCCUGGAGCUCAACUCCAGAACUGCCUUUGAUACUGAGGAGCUUGAGUCCGGGAGAGGUGAGUGGAACUGCGAGUGUAGAGGUGAAAUGCGCAGAUAUCGGGAGGAACACCCGUAGCGAAGGCGGCACUCUGGGCCGGAACUGACGCUGAGGAGCGAAAGCGUGGGGAGCAAACAGG
rnacentral:rRNA from 1 species